CCUUACCCAACGCUGCCCAACCGCCAGGGGCCUUCUUCUCGGAGUCUCCGGGCACCGCCCAAUCGCCGGUCCCCGUCUUCCGGGGUGGCCAAUGAGCGUCGACCGACUGCUAACGAUUUGUGAAAUUCCCAACGUCCUAGAGAGGCCUCAUCUGAGUCUGAUUGCGACACAACCCGGGGUUCUUCCACCAGAUUCUCACCGCACAGGAUCUGAGUUUGGGAGGGAGUGGUGGGGGUCCUGAGUUCAAACACCAGAGGUCAAAGACCAGGGCAGGUGCAGCCUCGGACUUCUUUGUUGCACGGUAUCCUGGAGAAAUUGGGCCGAGCCGAAGUUGGGAAGAGGUUGGGCAUGUUGAUCUUCAUUUCGUCUGAGUUUUGUAUGCUUCUUCCCGGAGGAGUGGAGGUGUCCGCUAACCGCAGAAAGGGUUCACCAUUGAGGCUCCAUUGCAGGACGCCAUAAAUCCACCUUAACUUGCUUGGUGGGGCCGGUUUAGCUUCCCUCUUUGUUCGGGACUCCCAGGAGCCACUAUCAGGAGGAGCCUGACUGAUGCAGACCGUAAAUACUUAGGGUUCAGGGAUGGGAUCUCGAGGCUUGGAGAAACUGCAUCAUGGGUUUUUAGCAGGAGCCAGACUGUUGGUGGUGAAAAAGUGAGCAUAUACCGUCUUCUCGCACUGUGAAGGCGCCCUCAGCACCUAAUCAAAGUCCAUGCCUCCGCUAGUUCUUCCCCAGAAGAACUAUUCCCUGUUCCAAAGCAAACCUUGUUUUCUUAAUAAAACAAGAGAGCCUGAA